ACUGAAUCGGGACUCUCCGCAAAGCCGAAUACUUAUAUGAUAGUUUGACCACUCAAGUCGCUUUUGCCGGAGCAGAUAUGGUUAAUAGAAAUGACACCUUCAAGAAGGCUUUUCCCCUGUGUCCUCGUUUUCCCGCUUUUGACAUGUUUGAGUCACGUGUCCUGGCAGAUAUGAGUCAGUCACUCCGAGCUGUAAGUCCUUCUCGCCAGGAAGGACCCUGCACCGAAAAUAUGUUACCACUAUCACCAUCCUUACCGACAGCGAAGUUUGCGAACUCACUCCAACUGCAUGAAAACACACUCGACUUCAAGAGGACUAACGACAACACUGGGCACGUGCAUUUCUCGCCAACCUACAUGAAAAGAUUGUUUGAUCCCCUUCCCAUGGCAACACAGCUGGUAAACGUGAGCAGCCAAAGGCCUUCUGGAACCAUUGACCAGCGAUAUUUCCACAAACUCAACCCACCCCGAUGGCCCCUCCCCCAACGCCACCGUCCUGCUCGACACACUUGAUUUGCAGAGGGCGCCAGCGACCACACAUAAUGUCGACAGCGUUUUUCAUAUUCAAACAAACUUUUCCAUCAUUACACACCCCACUGCACCCUCUCUGACUUCGAGAGUGAAAGGUACGAGGUAGUGAACACGUGUCCAGUCAGAGAUGGCGGGAACGUGGACCUUUCUAGUACCCAUGCACUUGCACACUGUAACCAGAUUGGAGUUCUCCAUUCCCAAGACAGAGGAAUGUUAACUUUUAAAGACUGCAUACCAACUGUAGUUCUUAUAAUUUUGCUACAUCUUCGAAAGGAAAAGUCGAUGAAAUAUUGGCUGAAGUAUAACUUUUCAUCUCCAGCUAGAAGAUCAACUUUAGACGAAUGUUUCAAGUGUCUUCAGUCUGAUUUAAUGGAAAGUAAACAGAGAAAUCAGUUUCUUGGGAAUAACUAUGUAAAAUCUUUUGUUUCAAGGUUUUUUCAGAAAAGUCUCAAAUUUAUUGACUAUGAAAAUGCAGUUCCGUUAUCUCUUUUUAAUAAAUAUAAGAAUGUUUCUUGUGUAAAAAGUAUUUCCGACCCCAUAAACAAGAUUCCAGUCAGCAAAGAAUUAAGUCGGUUUUGGAGGCUAGAUUUUAGCCAAUACUCGCAGCCCAACCAUGUUUACACUGUCUUUCCGGCAACGGUCAACAGUUCUCUGACUUCUGAACUGGGCCGCCUUGCUUCUCUUGCUUCACUUCCUUCGUCUUGUACUGCGUUCCGCAUCCCUCUGGCUAAGGCAGGAUUCUACUAUGACGUCAACAACACCAGCAGAAACCCCGACAACCUGCACGAACUGGUCUGUUUCUCAUGCCGUGUUACCUGCAGCAGGUGGGACACAGGUGAGAGUCCUGCAGAGAUCCACCGACGGUUGUCCCAGAGUGCCCACAUGUGAAGACUCUUUUUCCAGAUUCUUCUGGAACAUUCUCAUCUAUGUCAUCUGGAAUAGGAAGCUCCAUUUCAUCCUCGUAUACUUCUGAUGUCGCUUCUGCACGAAGUAGCAGCUUGCUGUCGUCAGUCUCUUCAACAUCCGGGUCCUUUCAGGAAACAAGCCUCCCUUUGUCGCUACCUACUGGGCGGACCUCUGACAACCACAGCAGUUUUAGCGACCUGGCUACAGACUGUGCGGCCAUUGCCCCAACUUCGCGCCCACAAGUCACCAUCGGGACCUAUCCCAGCAACGUGACAGCAGGAGGUCGAAGGUUAGAAGGACAGCGACACGUAGGCGAUUAUCUGGAUUACAGGCCAGUCUUGUCCAUGGACAUCGCCGUCUACCCGCAAUUCUCUACUUGCCAGUCUCGGCUAACCACCUACCGGAACUGGCCGCUAACGCACUUCUUUGACCCACAGACGCUGGUCACGCUGGGAUUCUUCUAUGCAGGUCAGUGACAUCACCUGGUGAUGAACACACGCUCAUCCAGGCACCUGAGCUUUUCCAUCACGCGGGAAAGAAGAUGGUAGUGAUGGAUUUCUCCUGACGUCUCUUCAACACGCGCCUGCAUCAGACCUAUGUUCACAUCAGCUUUAAAUUUACUCCAGGGUGAUAAAAUGGGUCAACGGCCUUUGACAGAAAAAUAACAUACAUUGUUGUCACAAAGCCAGCUAGUGUUUUAAAUAUUGUACUUCAGUCUGAUGGUAUAAUCCAGCGAAUGUGGUGAACUCCCGGGGCAGUUGUGAUAAUGCAAACUCAGCUGCUGUUUGAAUAGAAAUCUCUCCAGCCCCCACUUUCACCACACUUACAAAAUUAACUUCCUUAAAAUUUGACCUAGUUAUGGGUAACAUAUUGACUUUAAAACGCACAAUAUGCCUUUCGCUCUGCAUUUGUGUUGGACGGAUGAGGGUGAGGUAACGAGUUGGGAUUGUUAAUUCAAAACCUUCACUUAAAUAGAACAGAAAAAACCACAAAACUGAAAGAGAGGGAAAAAAGUAAAGAAAAAGAACAAAACUGGAAAAAAAGAGAAAACAAAAAAUUAUGAAAAAAAAGAA